GGGGGGGGGGGGGGGGGGGGGGGGGGGGGGCGGGGGGAGCGGGGGGGGCCGGGGGGGGGGGGGGGCGCGGGGGGCGAACGGGUGAGUAACACGUGGGUAACCUGCCCUUGGCUUGGGGAUAACUUCAGGAAACUGGGGCUAAUACCGGAUAGGAGCUCCUGCUGCAUGGUGGGGGUUGGAACGUUUCGGCGGUUGGGGAUGGACUCGCGGCGUAUCAGCGUGUUGGUGGGGUAGUGGCUUACCAAGGCUUUGACGGGUAGCCGGCCUGAGAGGGUGACCGGCCACAUUGGGACUGAGGUACGGCCCAGACUCCUACGGGAGGCAGCAGUGGGGAAUAUUGCACAAUGGGCGGAAGCCUGAUGCAGCAACGCCGCGUGCGGGAUGACGGCCUUCGGGUUGUAAACCGCUUUCGCCUGUGACGAAGCGUGAGUGACGGUAAUGGGUAAAGAAGCACCGGCUAACUACGUG
rnacentral:rRNA from 1 species